AGAAAAUUAAUUGCAAAGUGUACGAGUCUCAGCGAUGUUAAUAUGACAGAGGUAAAGAUUUAGAAUUGUUACAUACGGUAGAUUAGUACUGGAGCAAGUGGAACCAUUUCAUGAUUACAUAUUUGCUAUUUCACAGUAAUAGAUGGGGUUUUUGUGUUUUUUUUAAACAUUUAUAAAACUGCGCAUUUGAGUAGUUGCAGAUUAUAUAACUCAUCCUUUGAUCUGGUUUGACGUAUUUACCUUUUAUACUAUGAUUGAUUUUUCCUAAAACAUAUACUUUUACAAGGAUCCGGAGUGGGGUAUGUCUAGCUCAGGGUUAUGGAUGAAUUCUUUGCUCAAUAUAUCUAUACCUUGCCAGUUUUUAUUAGAGGCUACAUAUUUGGAGUUCCUGAAUUUGCUACAGUCCCUUUCCUUUGCAGCUUCUAUAGUGAGCUCUAGAGUGAGCUCCCCAGCUCACAUAUCUUUAUACAGUACUACUAAGCUUAUAUCAUAGGCUGUGUACUCUCCUUACAUUUACAGUCUACAAUUUUCCUACACGUCUUCAUUCAUUUGUUUAACUAGAUACAAGCUAUAUGCCUGGAGAUCUCGCUUUUCAACAUGUUCUUAAUCUUGUAAGAUGCCUUCUAUGGACUGUAAGCCCACUGGGGGAGAACCAUGUUCACUAUCUAUUCCUGUUAUCACGUUUGUCUCUUUUUUGCCCUAUUGCAAAAUCUUCUUCUACAGACCUCAGCUGUUUGGUGCAAUAGGUUAAAGGGACACUCCAGGCACCCAGACCACUUCUGCCCAUUGAAGUGGUCUGGGUGCCAGCUCCCAUCACCCUUAACCCUGCAAGUGUAAUUAUUACAGUUUUUAUAAACUGCAAUAAUUACCUUGCAGGAUUAAGUCCUCCUCUAGUGGCUGCCUAUCAGACAGCCACUAGAGGGACUUCCCGGUUCUUAAAACACAAAAGUGUUUUAAAUGACGCUGGACACGUCACUGCAAACUCCACAGGAAAGCAUUGAAUGAUGCUUUUUUUCUAUGGCGAGGUCUAAUGCAUGCGCGGCCAUUGCCACGCAUGCGCAUUAGGUCUCCCCCGCUGGCUGACGUCGGAGGGGGGGCGUGGGCGGAUCCUAACCCAGCGCCGAGGGACAUUGGCACUAGAUUCCGGUAAGUCACUGAAGGGGUUUUAACCUUUUCAGCAACAUGGGAUGGGGGGUGGACGGGAAGGGGACACUGAAAACAGAUUUGUUUUCCUGGUACUGGAGAGUCCCUUUAAGUGGUGGGUUAGUGGUAAAUCGUUUGGCAUUUCAAGUAUUCCCAUAUUUAUGGAUUACCCACAAUUCAGUGAGAGUAUGCAGGAACACAGGAGAAUCUUUCUGGCUUACUCAAGCCCCAUGAGUAACAAAAACAAAUCAGUUUUACUUCCAGUUUCAAAAAAGUUUUCAGUAAAAUUUGCAAUACAUAUGUUUUUACUUUUUAAUUUGUAACCUAGUCUCCAAACCAGUGUUGUGAUAUUAAUUUAACAAGUGCUAAUUUGUUGCAGAGUACAGAUAAUGUGGGUGUAAUAUAUUUCACUGCAUAUUUACAAUGACUUGUCAAAACUUUCAUAAAAAAAGAGCAGAAGUUGAUAGGCUGAUAGCAAAUUCUUGCUGUAAUAACUUUUUAUUCCAAAAUAUAGUAGACACAAGCGUAUUGUACAACAGACAGGUGUAGGUAAAAGGCAACCAAAAUAUCAUCAAACCAUUCAUGUUAUAUUACCUGCAAAAUUGCAAAUGAUAGUUAAUUAAAAGCAGACUGUCUUAUGUUUGACCAGCAACAAAUAUUUGGUCUUAUCAAGGUCAUAUCGCUUUCAUCUAUGUUUAUUUAUUUUUUACUUAGUCAUUUAGCAUUCUUUUAAAAUAAUAUUUCUAAAUAUAAGAACUAUUGUUUUUUUCCGUCUUUUAUUGUUUAAACAAAGCGGUUACAAAUGACAGUGUGGUCAACAAUUACAUUUUAAAUAUAAUACAGUACAUUUGCAUCGUGGUCACCUUCUAAGUCCCACAUAUACCGGUGUAGAACUGCUGUUGUGUAGGGGUAUGUAGGGGUGGCUGUACACUACAGUGUUUUGUUAAUUUGUAUAUUAUGGGCAGAGUUUCUUCAUAUCUAACAUUGGUAGAAGUGUGCCCUACUAGUGGCACAUAGCCACUCGUCCCGAAGACUAGUUGUGUUGUUUGCCUGUAAGGCGGUGGUUUUGUUGUGCUGGUCACUGAGUAUAAGAACUAUUUUUUAUUUGACAAUUUUUAUUGUUUUCCAAAUAUUCAUGGGGUGCAAAAAAGAAAGGGGAGUGGUUAAUGGGGAACAAUUGGCAUUGUAUUCAGGUACCAUACACGUGGGCUCCAACCCUGGAGGUCCAAGUAGGACAGAUGUAUUACUUAUCAGACAGCACAUUAUAUUCGUUUGCAAUUGCCUAUUCCCUCUACUCUUUGGGUUUAGACACUCCUCUUUGUUUGGGAGCUACAUUUAGUGGCCCCUCUCCUUGUUGGCUUUAUGAUGUGGUUCCAUCCUUGGUAAAUUAGAAUAGUGUGGCUUGGUUGUGUUUUUGGAUCAUUGUGUCUAUCUAGCCCUGUGUUUUUUAUAUACUCUUGUGUUUGGGUAGCUCGAGACCAUGCUUGUAGAGGGGACAUCUGUCCUUAUAGGUGUAGAGACCCCUGUGUUUUAACGCAAGUUGGUACAGUACAGAUAUAUCAUGGCUAGUGGACUCCCCAGAGGGGGGAAGGGGGUAACCAGAUAUACUAGGGAACAAAGAAGAACCGGUGUGUGAGCAGGUAUCGUGCAACUUGUGUACUCUGACCUGCAACUGCUAUUCAGUGCCCGUGUGUUGUAUAUAUACCACACCCGAGCCUGCGAGUGGGGUGAGCUCUUCAUGCCUAGUAGCUGCCAUUAGAUCAUAAUUUUCCUUCAUUGGCGGUGGUGUUAAGUAUUAAGGCAAGAGAGCAUGUGGUAAAAGUGCAGGUAAGUGCCAGAUGGAUCAUAGUGUGGGCGCAGAUGGGGUAUUCAGUACUCGGGGUAAAGUUGGUUGCAGAUAUGUUCAAUAACGGGUUGCGUGAGACCUGGUUGGGUUUGUUCAAGCGUUAUGUACAGUUUAACCUGUACUCCUCCUUCGUGAGGAUGUUAAUCAUUCCCUGUUGCUAUGGGGAGGGCAGGAAGGUUGGUAUUGCUGCUUAAGUUGUUCAUGGUGGCCCAUCUUUGGGUCCAUAAGUCUACUGCCCUUUGUGUGUCGGUGUCUGCUCUAAUUUGUGCGUUUGCCGUGCUUUCGUAGGCCGAGUUCACUGUUAUUUUGCUUAGUAGUUCCUCCUUUGAAGGUGCAUUUUUUGUUUUCCACUGUCUAGUGAUCAAUGUGUUAGCUGCUAUCAAGAUGUGGAAUAGGAGUUUGCGUUCUAUUCGUGGUAUAGGUUUCUGUUCCAUGAAGAGUAGACACAUCUCCAGUGUCAGAGGCAUGCUUCGAGGCGUGGUUUGGGUCACUAUUGUACCAUCCAUGUCCCAGUAUUGUCGUAUGAUGGGGCAUGUCCACCAAACAUGAUACAUAGUGCCUGUCUCACCUCCACAUCUCCAACAAGUGUUGGAGGUGCCCAGAAAUAUGUGCGCCAACCUGUCCGGGACCAGUUACCAACGAUAUUGUAGUUUCCGAAUGAGUUCGCAGAGGUUCGCUUUUGUGCAAUUUAUAGAGUUUGGUGAUACACCACACCUCCUUCCACUGUUCGACAAGGGUUCUAGUGCUAGCACGUAAAGGAGCUGUGAAAGUGGGCAGCCUUGACGGGUUCCAUUUGUAAUACUAAACCGGGUGGAUAGGAACCCUACGUUGAGUACUUGUGCCACUGGGUCCGCAUAAAGCGCUCUGACCGCCGAGAGAAAGGUCCCCGGAGCACCAAUCUUUCUCAGCACUGCAUCCAUGAACCCCCAGCUCAGACGGUCGAAGGCCUUCUCCGCGUCCAGUGAUAGCAAUAAACCCUUACAUUUGGUGUUGCGUAGAACGUGUAGGACAUCUAUUGGUGUCUGUGUUUAGGAGGGAAAUCGGUCUGAAAUUCUGCAGGCUUGUGGGCGAUUUGCCUGGUUUCGCCAGUGUGACUAUAUGUGCUAACAGGAUCUCAGGUGGGAGUGAGUGGGAGGUUAUGGCUCCUGCUUAGUCAGCUGCGGGGCUAAGUCGUCUCAAAAUUUUUUAUAGUAGGAGUUAGCAAACCUGUCUGGUCCAGGCGAUUUGCCUGCGGGUAGCAAUAGCAUAGUAAGUUUGACCUCUGUCUCUGUUAUUGACGCCGCUAGGUCAGAUUUGUGUUGGUGGAAUAAUUGCGAUAGUUGUAUGGUGUCUAAGUAAUGUGUAAUGUCUUCCCCCGUAGGUGGAUGGGUGUUCGGGUCUCGAUGUAGGUUAUAGAGGUCCGACUAGUUUGCUGAGCACUCGUCACUUAUGUCCUUCGGGGACAUGAGCUUGUGGCCAGUCCGCGAUGUUAAGUGCGCGAUAGCUUGGUUGGCUUGUUUUUGUUUGAGUCUGUUAGCUAUGAGUUUCCCCGCUUUGUUCCUUUGUGAGUAUUGUGUGGCUUUCAUCUUUCGUAUAUUGAAUCCCACUUUGUUUAGGGCAUGUUGUUGUAUGUUCUGUUUGUACAGUGUGUUGAUUGAGGAAGUUUUGCCAUUACGCUGAAUUAUUAGUUUUGUAGGGAACCCCCACCUGUACAUAAUGUGCUGAUCUUGCAGAAUGCUAGUGAUGGGAGUGAAAGUCUUUCUCUUCCUCAGGAUGGGAGCUGAAAUGUCUGCGAAAAUCUUAGCCGUGCGGUAUUUGGGGGGUAGAUCCAUCUUCGUCCUGCUGGAUUUUAGGACUAUUUCUUUUAUGUGAUAAUGAUGCAUCUUUAAGAUGAUAUCCCUUGGUAGAUCUUGCGGUAGGAAUGAUGGUUUGGCAACCCAGUGUAUACGGUCCAUGAGCAGCAUGUCUUGGGGUACCUCGGGGGCUAUUAUAUGAAAUAAUUCUGUGAUAUAAGCUUGGAGCUCUUGUGCUCCUAUCUCCUCAGGUACCCCCCUGACCCAGAGGUUAACUCACCGUGACCGUUCCUCGAUGUCUGCCAGUUUGGAUUUAUAGCUGUCUAACUGAGCUCUCAGCUCUUGCACCUCAGAAGUCAGAGCGUUGUGGACUUUCGCGAGUUUUGCCAUUUUGAGCGUGGAGGUGCGGCUACCCAGUUCCUGGAUAUCGCUGCGGAGGUAGCAGAAGGACUGCUGGAGAUUGCUUUGUAGUUUAGCUGCCAUCGUAUCCAGCAAGUUUUGCAGCAUUUCACUGGUGAGUGGUGUGCUUGGAGAGGGAGGCCUCUGUGUUAGCUCUUGGUCAGUAUCGCCGCCAUCUUGGGUAGCUGGAUUUGCCGGUCUUGAGUAGCUGGAUUUGACUCAGAACAAGUUAUGUUUGUCUGUUUUGUCCGCAUUCCGUUUUCCUUUGUGGGGGGAUAUUCUGUAUAGGCCUGGAAGUGCCGAAUUUUGAGGCUUAAUUAUUGCCUAAGGGCCGAUUUUUCACGGAGCUAGCAGCACAUGCAACUGUUCUCCGUCCACUCCAGGACACAUCCCCUUGGUAUAAGAACUAUUUUAAUAGCAUUAUUAGUAAACAUAGUUAUAAACUAUAAGUAUGAUUGGUUGGUCGCUUGGAUGGUGGUCAGGUGUGUUGGGUCAUGAAUGGAAUCACAAGAGUAUUUUAAUGAUGUUAGUAGGGUGUUAAUAGGACUGUAUUUAAAAUAAGACUAUAGCAUUAGUUCCACAAUGCUGAUAAACUAUGUGAAAGGGUUCCACGGGAAAAAUAAAUUUGGAACCCCUGCUCUAGCUACACACUAUCAUAUUAACUCUGGCAAUGCUAUAACCAAUCAGAAACCCUCUAAUGGGUAACUUCUCCCUGUAUCUGCUACGCCUACACACAUCACAUUGUGUGGCAAUAUUUGUACAAUGAAACGAUGAAUCAUGCUUGCAGGGCAUUUGAUGCCCCUCCCAUUUAAGUAACUUUUUAUAUUCUGUAGCUGACAUCAUAAAAAAGGCACUGCCCAUUACUUUCCCUUAUUCACAGAGAACAUGACUGGUUACUUUUAUUUUUUUACAGUCAGUCCUGAUCUUCCCAUUCUCUUCUUAAUGAGUUCUUUUUCAUUUGUAUUCUUUUUUUUAAGCAUGAUAACACUUGUGCCAGCUUCCAGUGCCAUUUUAAUAUUCCCAAGAAUAUUUUAUCCAUUAGUGUCCUUUAUUCAUGUACAUUUGAGGAUAGUUUAAGAUUAUAGUCAAGAUUUUUAUGUGUUGUUUUUCCAGUUAUAAGAAAGUUUUGCCUUAAAAUCUGCUGCUUUUCCCUUCAGGUUAAUUUACAAACAGAGUCGUGAGUGGGCGUCUUGAUAUUAACUAACAAGUACUAAUUGCUGCGCAUUAUAGAUUAUACAGGUGUAAGAUAUUUCACUGAAUAUUUUCUGAUGAAAACUUGUCAGAACUUUCAUAAAAAUGAUAAACAGAUAAAGCUCUUAAUAAAACCCUUUAUCUCUGCAGGAUUGCUAGACAUGCAUCUUUUACAGCACCUCACCCUCUAAAGUGCAUUAAAGGUCAAUGCCCAAACCAUAUUUCAUUUAGUAAGGGUUAAAAAAAACACCAGCGAAUAAGGGAUUUAUUUUGUUUGCAUUUUUCUUUUCUGCAAUAAAAGUUACAAAGUACAUUUUGUCCUAAACAGUUUUUAGCAGAUAAAUAGUAGUUUAUAUGAUUCAACAACGUUUUUAAUUGUUUUUUUAUAUUUAAAAACAGACAAAAGAGCACAAUAGCAGCAUAUAUAUUGUAUUACAGAAUGUUACACCCAAAUGUCUGUGUUAUUUUUUUUAAUUUUUUUUUUUUAAACAUAGGGGUUAUAAACUUAAGAAAAGUCAAAUAGUUAUAAUAAUUGGUAGAGCAGGUAUACUACAGACUGGUCAGCAGGACCAAGGGCGGUAAAUCUCAUCAAUAGUGUACAAUUAUGAGCUAAUAAACACAUAACAAGUAACACUGUACUGAACAAUAAAAAACUGCAGAGUAAGAAGGAACAAAGUAUAUAUUUUUAACCAAGCUUCUAUUGGCUGUCCUCUAGCAUUCAAGCAGUUAAUUGGGGAAUGUAGAACUGCCUAUUUCAUAUGAUAAUUAAUAUGCUGAAGAACAGAAGCCUUUUCAGCUUCAACAAGAUAUCUUAAUUACCUUUAAUUUAAAAAGGGUUGUUUUUAUUACUUUGCUGAUCUUUUUAUAUCUCACUUUAAUUGUUGUACAGAGGGAUGAAUCAUUCUUUUUUUGAAAGGACCCUUGAAAUGUAUUACAUGCACUGCAUGCAAGAAAGGGCACAGAAACUUGCUUUCUGAAGGUCAAUUGAAGUUUAUUUUUUAUUUUAUUAAAGAAAUAAGGUACUACUAGUAUGCCCUGACCUUUAAAACAGAUACAGCAGGCUGGAAAUUACCUCUGUUUUAAAUGCAUAAUAUAAAUAAUGUAUUUUAAAAAUACAAAAAUAAUAAUAUUGAAGCAAAAGAUAUUUAUAUUUUAAUUGUCCAUGCUUGCCAUAUAUUUCCAGGAUUUUCAGCCAUUGUAGUGAGCUCUCCAAGAAUCUUGAUAAGGUUGGUAAUUCAACAGCUCCUUCAAGUAUUCCUUGUCCUCCUGGAUGUGGGAUGCUGUGAGCCAACAGUUGGGUGAUUACAGGAUUUGUCGCUGAGAAAGUUCAAAGUAAAUAGAUGAGGGUACUGGAGGUGAUACCUUACUAUCCAUAGUAUCCAAAUUGCUGAUAUCCCUCCCAGGACACCAAGAGUCCAUUAAUAUUAAUCCAGUGGUUUUGGGCAUAUAUCCAUCCUGAAGCUACCUAGAACCCAAUAUCCCAUGGAUGGAACACUCCUUCAUGAAUCUUCUUGAGUAGGCAAGAAAGAUAAUCAUUUGGUCCUUCUGACGAUCAUUAGGACUCCAAUUGCUAAUCUAAACCUUGUCAAGAGCACCUAGUAAGUAAGCACCGAGUAAGUGAGUCCAGAACCUUACAGAGCUCCUGCUAGAUGGAGUAAGCAAAGGAAAAGACUAAUAGGGAAAGCAGAGGCGAGUGGUGCUCUGUCCCGAUGCCCGCGCUUUAGCUGAAUGUGCAGUGAGCCCUUCGGGCUCAUCAACCGAUGCAGAGGUCUCCUCCACUCCCAUGACUGCUGGAACAACAGCAAGGUGAGGGCCAAGGCCCACUUUACUUGUCCGAUGCCAGUGCUGCAGCAGUGGGUGUGAUUAGAUCCUCGGGCUCAACCACCAAUGUAGAGUUCUCCUCCACGACUGAACCAACAAAAGCAAGGUGGAAGCAGAGGCCAGCAGUACUUUGUCCUGAUGCCAGCUCUUUAGCUGUGGUUGCAUCCAUUUGAUCCUUAGUCCAUGGGGAAUGAUGCUGAACAGUAUUGCGCAGCUUCCUAUAGGGUUUCCAUUCUCUGAUGACUAGAUAUUCCAGAAUCGUGUCCCAGUUCUGGUACAUCUGAGAUGUUCAACAUAACCUCAGGGCUCUUUAAUGUCCCGGAAAUAAGAAUCCUCAUCAUGUCCAAAUUCAGUGUCCUCAUGGAUGCUUUAUCAUAAUAAUCAAGGGUCGCCAAAGUCAUAGCCCUCAGAGGAACAGUCACUCAUAACAUAUAAAUAUUCUUGCUAUGCAUAUCACUGCAGAGCUUUCUACCUGUCAUCCAGCUCUAUCUUCAUCUGGACCAGCAGCUCCAAUCGGGACACCCUUUGAUCUUGUGGCUUCUCUCCCAGGAAUGACAUUUGUAAAUCCCUCUGGAAUGUGAACCAUUGUCCUAGGGUUAGAAGAUGCUUGUCACGGCACACAAAUCAUGUCCUGUGCUGCUUCAUAAUAAUACAAUACAAUAUUUAUAAAGGUUUGGUGAAGACAAAGACUAACAAAAAAUAGUCCCUUGCCUGUAUAAACCAUAAUGUGCAAAUCUACCUGAAUAUGCAAAUUAACAAGCCUUGCUAUUCCGGUAGUGCAACUGUUGCACUGACAAGUGGUGCUGCGCAGGCCUCAGAGCCAGACAGAGGAUAACUCAAGGCAUUCUUCAAAUAAUAUUACAAUACACACCCUGCACCUAUAAUGGGCACAGCGUGAGUUAAACAAGAAUCAUCCAGGGAUCUGCAAAAAGUGAUAUAUACUCCCAGUGAUGGUGACUACCAUCACAGGUAGCUACAUGGAAUUAUAGGUGCUCCCGCCAUAAAUUCUGAAGGCUACAUUAAUUCCUUGAAAACAAUGGUGUUUACUGUAUUUUAACAAUAUUGUAUAUUGCCUGUUAUUAAGGUGUAUUAAUACAGAGUCUUAUUUUUCAUGAUGCAGUUUCCUUAUUGAUUGCUUGUAAUCCUUUAUAUCUAAGGAACUAAUAGAGCCUUUAUUAUAUAUUAUCUUCACAGUUGGCCAUGGUCAGAGUGAAGGAGAGAGGAUGACGGUAUCUGAUUUCCACAUUUAUGUCAGGGAUGGCCUGCAGCAUUUGGACCUCAUGAAGAAGGAGCACCCCAACCUGCCAAUCUUUCUCUGUGGACACUCCAUGGUAAGGGACAAGGGUUUAUUAAAUAAAUAGCUUAGAGGUUUGCCCUGGUGUUGCCAGGUGAGCUUACACUUUUAUGUCCAUGGAAUUGGUUCCGAAAACUGUGCUAUUUAAAAGGUUUAUUGGGAUAUUUGGGAUGGUGUGCAGGUACCAUUUUUUGUUUUAUUUUAUUUAGAUAAGAUAAUUUACUUAAUUGAAGAGGGUAUUCAAUUAAAUUUGCAAUAUUCUGCAUCACAUAACUUGCUGAUAACCAAAAAAACAAAACAAUGGCCUGUUACUGCUACUCAAGAAUGUGGUUUGAAACAUACCUAAGGAACCUCAUUCGUGCUAUAAGUAAUACUGAAGUAAACCCACAAUGUAAGUUAAAAAUAGAGUUUCCAGUUAAUUAGUGCUGAAUGUACUGAAACGUUAUGGGUAAUGAGAAAUAUUGUUGCCUUGUGUUUCUCAGGGAGGUGCCAUAUCCAUCCUCAUGGCCAGUGAGAGAUCUGUCGACUUCUCAGGUGUCAUCCUGAUAUCUCCCUUAGUUCUGCCCAACCCGGAAUCAGCUACGUCGUUCAAGGUAAGUCUCAUAGCAUCGCAGGACAUCAGUCUUUAUACAGUCAGAACAACUGGAAUUAUUAAAACUUGAAAGCAGAUGUGACACAAUUAGCAGCA
rnacentral:lncRNA from 1 species